UACGGAGGGGGUUAGCGUUGUUCGGAAUUACUGGGCGUAAAGCGCACGUAGGCGGAUCAGAAAGUAUGAGGUGAAAUCCCAGGGCUCAACCCUGGAACUGCCUUGUAAACUCCUGGUCUUGAGUUCGAGAGAGGUGAGUGGAAUUCCGAGUGUAGAGGUGAAAUUCGUAGAUAUUCGGAGGAACACCAGUGGCGAAGGCGGCUCACUGGCUCGAUACUGACGCUGAGAGACGAAGGCCAGGGUAGCGAAAAGG
rnacentral:rRNA from 1 species